rnacentral:lncRNA from 1 species
CUGGCUGACUGGUUCUCUAUAGUGGUGGGUGGCUGAGACGGGAUGAACGGGGCUCGCUGACUGACUGGCUGGCUGACUGGCUGGCUGACUGGUUGACUACCCGGUUGUCUGGCUGGCUGGCUGACUGAAUAACUGGCAGACUGACUGGUUGACUACCCGGCUGGCUGGCUGGCUGGCUGACUGGCUGGCUGUGGACUGCAUUGUAUAGAGAAAAGAGCUGAUAAACCAUAUGACGAUAGGACUUGUGCAGAACAGAUUCCAGACAGGGAGGCCAGCAGGGCCGAUCCAAACAAGCUGAUUUUGCGCUGCUAUUUUGGUCCCCCCCGCGGAUCAUGCUGCACAGAGGAACUAGCGCCUACAAAUAUGGGAAAAUGGCAGUGGAGGAGGGAGCAGAGUUGCUAGGAGCAAUUGACAGUAAUGCCAGCUACUUGAGAGCAGCCCGGGCAGGGAACCUACAGAAGGCUUUGGAUUACCUGAAGACUGGGGUCGAAAUCAACAUCUCUAACCAGAAUGGCCUCAAUGCCCUCCAUCUGGCCUCUAAAGAGGGCCAUGCCGAGGUGGUCACACAGCUCAUCAAGCUGGGAGCCAAUGUGGACGCUGCAACUAAGAAAGGGAACACAGCUCUCCACAUAGCGUCUCUGGCUGGUCAGGUGGAUGUAGUGAAGGAGCUGGUGACCAGCGGAGCUAACAUCAACGCACAGUCUCAGAAUGGCUUCACUCCUCUGUACAUGGCUGCUCAGGAGAAUCAUCAGAAGGUGGUCAGAUACCUGCUGGACCAUGGCUCCACACAGGGCAUCGCUACAGAGGAUGGCUUCACCCCCCUGGCGGUGGCGUUGCAGCAGGGACAUGAACAGGUGGUCUCUCUGCUCCUGGAGAAUGACACUAAAGGGAAGGUCCGGCUCCCGGCGCUCCACAUCGCCGCUCGCAAAGACGAUACCAAGGCUGUUGCGCUGCUUCUCCAGAUCGACCACAACGCAGAUGUCGAGUCCAAGAGUGGCUUUACUCCGCUGCACAUUGCUGCUCACUACGGCAACAUCAACGUGGCAACGCUCCUCCUCAACCGCGGCGCCGCCGUGGACUUCAAGGCCAGGAAUGACAUCACACCGCUGCACGUGGCUUCUAAGAGAGGGAAUGGCAACAUGGUCAAAGUUCUGCUGGAGAGGGGAGGCAAGAUAGACGCCAGGACUAAGGACGGUCUGACCCCUCUCCACUGUGGCGCCAGGAGCGGACAUGAACAAGUGCUGGAGAUGCUGCUAGACAGAGGAGCUCCCAUCCUGUCCAAAACUAAGAACGGUCUGUCUCCCCUCCACAUGGCCACCCAGGGGGACCAUCUGAACUGUGUUCAGCUCCUGCUACACCACGAGGUUCCUGUUGAUGAUGUCACCAACGACUACCUGACGGCCCUGCAUGUCGCCGCCCACUGCGGACACUACAAGGUCGCCAAGGUCAUUGUGGACAAGAAGGCCAAUCCCAACGCUAAAGCACUGAAUGGUUUCACUCCGCUCCACAUCGCCUGCAAGAAGAACAGAAUCAAAGUGAUGGAACUACUGCUGAAACACGGAGCAUCCAUACAGGCAGUGACCGAGUCGGGUCUCACUCCGAUCCAUGUGGCGGCUUUCAUGGGACACGAUAACAUCGUCACUCAGCUGACGAAUCACGGAGCUUCGCCAAACACAACUAAUGUGGUGACCUGUGUGUUUGAUAGAACCCUGGUAUCUAACCUGUGUGUUUGA